rnacentral:rRNA from 1 species
AUUGAACGCUGGCGGCGUGCUUAACACAUGCAAGUCGAGCGGUAACAGGUGUAGCAAUACAUGCUGACGAGCGGCGAACGGGUGAGUAAUGCUUCGGAAUCUUCCUCGUAGUGGGGAAUAACCUGGGGAAACUCAGGCUAAUACCGCAUACGAACUACGGUUGAAAGCAGGGGAUCGCAAGACCUUGCGCUAUGAGAUGAGCCGAAGUCGGAUUAGCUAGUUGGUGAGGUAAAGGCUCACCAAGGCGACGAUCCGUAGCUGGUCUGAGAGGACGACCAGCCACACUGGGACUGAGACAAGGCCCAGCCUCCUACGGGAGGCAGCAGUGGGGAAUAUUGGACAAUGGGGGCAACCCUGAGCCAGCGACGCCGCGUGUGUGAAGAAGGCCUGCGGGUUGCAAAGCACUUUUAGUGGGGAUGAAAAGCCGAAGGCUAAUACCUUUCGGUCUUGACCUAACCCAAAGAAAAAGCACCGGCUAACUCUGUGCCAGCCGCCGCAGUAA